CCCUUAGAUGUUCUGGGCCGCACGCGUGCUACACUGAGUGGAUCAGCGGGUCAGGUUGCGCGAAAGUGUUUCCUAAUCUUUAAAUCCGCUCGUGAUGGGGAUUGACGGUUGCAAUUUUCCGUCAUGAACGAGGAAUACCUUGUAAGCGCGGGUCAUCAUCCCGCGCUGAAUACGUCCCUGCCCUUUGUACACACCGCCCGUCGCUCCUACCGAUUGGAUGGUCCGGUGAACUUUUUGGACUUGUAGCAAUGUUAUGAGAAAGUUAAGUAAACCUUAUCAUUUAGAGGAAGGAAAAGUCGUAACA
rnacentral:rRNA from 1 species